rnacentral:rRNA from 1 species
AACGAACGCUGGCGGCAGGCUUAACACAUGCAAGUCGAGCGCCCCGCCCGGGGAUCGGCAGACUGGUGAGUAACGCGUGGGAACGUACCUUUUUGUUUGGAACAACUCCGGGAAACUGGUGCUAUUACCGGAUAAGCGCUAACAGCGGAAGGUUUAUCGUCCUACGAUCGGCGCGCGUCUGAUUUGCUACGUGGUGGGGUAACCGCUCACCAUGGCGACGAACAGGAGCUGGUCUGAGUGGAGGAUCAUCCACAAUGGGACUGAGACACGGCCCAGACCCGGACGGAAGGGAGGAGAGGAGAAUAUUGGACAAGGGGCGCAAGCCUGACCAAGCCAUGCGGGGGAAGAGAGGAAGGGGUUAGGGUUGUAAAGCUGUUUUGGCCGGGAAGAGAAUGACGGUACCGGAAGAAUAAGCACCGGCUAACUACGUG